rnacentral:lncRNA from 1 species
AUGGGCAGAUACAUGCUUCGUAAAAUAUAAACUUGUUUUUAUAAUAAAUCAAAAAAGUUCUUUAAGUUGUGUUAAAAAGAGAGGACGUAAACACAUGGCUUCUUCGACAGUCACCACUUUAGCCCUAAUCCUAAUCAUGAUCUUCCACCUCACGCCGGAAACAACUGCAGCUCGCCAUCUCAACGAUCAGAUAAAGCCGAUAGAUGUAAUGAAAUACCUGUUUUCACAGGGCUUUCCCUUUGACCGUGUUCCUCCACCACCAUCACUUUUUUCCUCCGUUACCGUUUGUACCUUCUCCAAUCCCUGGAUACGCUCCAAGUUUACCGUCACCGUCACCUUCGUUACCUCCGGCGUCUCUUCCCGGUUUCCCUGGCUUAAGGUUUUCUCCCCCGCCGAUCCUCACGCCGCCACCGUCGUGAUUUUAUAGGUUAGCGCCGUUAUUAUAUAUGACAAUUAUCCGUUGGAAAAACGAUUGAUCAUGUGGACUCAAUGAUAUAAGACAUGCUUAUUUCAUGAAAGUUUAAUAAAGAUAUAUAUAUAUAUGUCGUGUAAGUGUAACAAAUUGUCGAUCUAAUUAUUAAAUAAAGACUUCUGUUUAAGUUCUUUGCACCCGGAAUCUUUCUCUCAAUCUCACAUUCUCAUGAAGUUUAUGAGUGCGAGUGAACUCAAACCGUAUAUCGAAGUAAUUAAAAGUGAUCAUAUACAUUUUAUAUGUGAUGUUACAAAAAAUACAUUUGAUAUAUGUAUGGCUGCAAGUUGGAAGUUUUGUUUUUUACAGUUUCAUAGUCUAAUUAAUAAGUCUAAAUAUGGUUGAUCCAAACUUUCUAACAAAAAAUAGUUUAAUACGUCUAAAUAGUAAAGUAAAAUUAUAAUGUUUUGAAAAUUGUCUCCCUCCUACUUGUCAGCAAUUGUCAUUGUUUAGGAAAACUUUCCCAACAUUUUGAUUGGCUAAUAAAAUUGUGUGUUUAAGAACAAAAAACCAAAAUCCAUGGUAUUUUCCUUUGGCGUUGUUGCUGUGAACUCAGGGAGAAAUUAAAUAUCCGAUACUUGAGCAUCCAAUGAUCCAACAAACCCUUUCCUUAUUUAAUUCUCAAAAUCGUUUUCUAUUACCUAUUUGGGUCUUCUUGAUUUUUUUAUAUUCACAUAUUAUCAUGCAGCUCCUUCUUUAGACGGCAUGUAUUAAACCCCCUACAUGUUAGGCGCCAGUACUUCUCCACGCCGCCAUAGACGUGCUUCCCAAUUCUUCCCCGUAUAUAUAUAUAUAUAUACUCAAUGAAUUCUAAAUUUCUAACCCAACCCUAAGAAUCUCACCUUUUAAAUUUCCUUCACCAUCUUUAGCAUAUUAAUACCUUAGCAAGAUUUCUAAGUUUGUUAUGUCUCCUCCAGCGUUGUUUGUGUUUGAAGAUGAUUUAAACAGUAAAUGGAGCAAUGAAGAGUUGCAGCGUCUCAGUGUUUUUGCCAGAGAAAACUCUAACCCUAAUUUCAAAAUCUUGGUGAAGAAUGCUGCUCUGCAGAACCAGCAUACCGUUUCCUCAGUUCUCUCCAGCCCAUCUGUGAAAGAUGAAAGCUUCAGAAUGGUCUUACCUCAGGUGAUGUCUCCACCGAGAGAUAAAGCAGUGCCACUUCCUGUUCUACCCGAGCCGAUGAUGAAACCACAGAAGAAGCUUGGCCGCCAAGAAACCAUGUUUGCUGUAGGAAAAUCUCGGUAUGAUCAUGAGAAAAACCAAAACCAUGAAGAGGAAGAUUUCAAAUGCAGUGCCUUCUGUUUAUCCCUCCUUGGUUUUGGGAAGAAAAAAACUGCGAGGUCACCGAAAAGCAAGGAUUCAUCUAUAAAGAAGAAAAUGAUCAAAGGGUCAUCGUUUUCAAACUCCAUUGUCUCCCUAGGUGCCUCAUUCGAGAAAUUUGAAUAUGGCUCAUGGGUUUCAGCAACUGCUCUGGCCCGAGAAAACGACCGAUUGUACUUUGACCUGCCGUUGGAGAUGAUCCAAUGUGGCCGUGGAGGCGGUGGAAAUGUGCAAGAACCGGUGAGUUCGGGUUUCUUGUUAGACAAGGAAACAGAAAGUUUAGCUUUGAAGAGUGUUCUUCUGAAGACUUCUCUGUCCGGAAGGGAACAAAGAAGUUUGGCUGAGACGUCACCGCAACGCGGUGUCAGAUUCUCGAACAUGACCUCGGUUUCAUGCCCGAGUUCACCUCGAUCGAGUAUCACCCCCACGCUUGCGUAAAGGUUAAAGCUAGAGAUGACUUCAAUACGUUCUUUGCAGCACAGAAAGCGUGGAAAACAUAGUACUAUAAUAAGACUCAGUGCCGUGCGAAGAGUUUUAGGGGCCUAAGGCAAGUUUUAAAAAUAAAUUUAUUUAUAACCGUAAUGAAAAUAAUUUUCUAAUAUGAUCUAUUAUUUUCACCAAAUACACAAGUCUAAUACAAUAAAAGAAUAAUUUUAUAACAUAAAUAUGUUAUAUUAUGUCAUAUAGAAAAAAAAUACAUGAAUUCAAAAAAUAAAUUAAUUAAUUUUGGUAGAAAUGUUUUUUUUUAAUAAGUCUAAACCACUAUACUAGAAAUUAUUUUAAAUUUUGGGGCCCUAAAAACAGUCAUAUUAAUCGGGGGCCUGAGGCGAAUGCCUUUUUCGAUACACUGUAGGCACGCCUCUGGCUAUAUAAACACACAUUUCAGUAUGAAUAGUAGUAAGUUGUAGUACUAGUAAAUAACUAGAAACAAAUUUAACAUUUUCUUUUCCAAAGUAUCGAACUGAACCCGAACUCCCAGGUCUUAUAUAUUGUACACUGGGUAUUAGGGAGGCAUUAGCAUCUAAAACGUUUAAUUGGUGUUUAGUUUGUUAUUUAGGCGGUUAAAGUGUUUACAAAAUACAAUAAAUAUUAAAUAUAUAUCUCUUUAUAUAUAUGAAAUAGUAUGAAAAAAAUUAUAUUAUUUUUAUUUUCAUAAAAUUUUAUAAUAUAAUAUAUUAACUACCAGAACAUUGAUGUUUAUGUGUUCUUGGUCAGGAAUCAACCAUUUCGAGCUUGAAGGAAUGGUUGGCAGAUUCAACAAUAGGAAACAAUGCUAUCUUGAGGUUGAUUGCUGGUACUGUUUUCAUGCAUGAGGAAGAUUAUAAUGAAGCUCUGAAACACACUCAUGCUGGAGGAACUAUGGAUCUGUAAGAUUUUUUUUUUUUUUUUUUACCUUGCUGGACCGAGUAACGAUGGCUAGGUUUCCUUGCUCAUAGAUUGUUCAUUGCCCUUUGCAUUUUUAGGCAUGCCUUGAAUGUCCAGAUAUUCAUUAAGAUGCACAGAUCAGAUUACGCUGAGAAGCAGCUUAGAGUGAUGCAACAGUAUGACGAAGACCAUACUCUCACUCAACUUGCUACCGCAUGGUUGAACUUGGCAGUGGUAUAAAGCAAAAUUAUUCGAUUUGUUUACUUGUUCUAUAAAGAGUCCGUUUUUGCUUCUUUUUUUUUAUACCAAGUCUUUGUAUGAUGUCAGGGUGGCUCGAAGAUACAGGAAGCUUACCUCAUUUUCCAGGAUUUCUCUGAGAGGUAUCCAAUGACAUGCUUGGUUUUGAAUAGCAAAGCAGUUUGCUGUAUGCAAAUGGGUAAUUUUGAUGAAGCUGAAUCACUACUGCUUGAAGCACUCAACAAGGUAAAUAAACACAUUCUUGGUAAUCAUGUAUAACAGAUGUUGCUUGACUUCUCAAACUGCACUCAAUUUCUUGGCUGUUCUGUAAUAUGGGCAAGUGUGAAAACUAGUUUGUGGUGAUUGCAGGAUGCUAAAGACCCAGAAACUCUUGCAAACCUUGUCGUCUGCAGUCUUCAUGUUGGCAAAUCAUCUUCACGUUACUUAAGGUAAGCAUUGCAUCAACAUCCUUAUAAAAACAUUGGUUUAAUUUCACUUAUUGGGACCAUGCUAUUUUUUUUUUACAGCCAGCUUAAACUAUCACACCCUGAACAUGUGCUUGUGAAGCGUGUAUCAUCAGCCGAAGAUAACUUCGAGCGAGCGCUUCAAUCUAUCGCUUGAAGACUCUCCCAUUGUUCAAGCUUUGCAGGAUCAGUUUGCUUUACGACAUAUUUUCCUCGGUUGGUAAAUCCAACAGAACAACCAAAACCGUUUUGUCUUUUUGGAAUCAGUAUAUGAACCAGAUUUUGCCAUUUGAGUAUGUUACGUUUACCAUCUCAUUACUUUUAUAUAUAAAACUCCAGGCUCCACCUAUCAUACUCUCAGACUUAAUUUAGCUAGAUCGCGUAGCCAAAACCCAAAUAGGAAUAUGCAUCACUCCAUAACUUACUUGAGUUCAAACCCUUGUCUGGGAUAAUUUCCACAGCCAAUUUCACGAUAUCAUGAUACGAUUGUUAGAAUUUUAAUUUGAAAAAUGUAUUUGAGAGGUAAUUUCUACAAACAGGUGAAAAUGUUGAAUGAAUUGCUGCUUCCUAGAAUCAACGUAAAGCCAUUAUUAAUCAGUACAAAAUUUCAUAUAUAAUCUCUACAUAUUGUUUCAAAAAGAAAAUCUCUACAUAUAUUUGGACCGUACAAAUACUAUAAUACUAAUAGUAAAUAAGAACACAUCACCUUCCACACCCUUCACUAACAUCUAGAAUCAAGACUCUUCACUACAAUCGUCUAAGUCGAUACACAAAACAUGUUUUUGUUGCUUCGCGCGUAACAACUCUGUUUAGCAUCUUUAGAGCGUCUCAAAAAAAUAACUCUAUUUUGAAGUUUCUAAAACUUUAUAUUUGAAAUUUAAAGUUGUUCUUCUCCAAAAACAAAACUUCAAACUCAACUUCAAAAUUAUUUAUAUUUUAUAAUAUGGUCAUUCUAUUUGUCAUAAGUAAUCUGAAUUCAUAAAACUUUUAUAAAUAACUAGCACAUAUAUAAACAUAUUACAACAAUAUUAAUUAAUAAAUAUUCUAUUAAAAUAUAAAAAAUUAAAUAAAAAUAACUUAAUUAAUAUUAAACUUCAAACAAAAUACCAUGUUAUUCCAUAAAAUGAUUUUCGUAAUGCAUAUAUGAUCUAUUAGUGCAUUUCGAAGUAAAAAUGGUUCUCCUCAUUUUUACUUUGUAAAUUACGAGCUAAAAUUUGUUGAAAUCAGAUGAUAUUGAUACUUGUAAAUACAUUAAAUCGGAACAAGAAAGUAAAAGAGAAACAUAAAAUAUUGCUAAAAGACUAAUUUCUUUUCGAUGAUAUUAAUACUCGUGAAUAUAUUCGAUAUGAACAAAAAAGAAUUUUAAGAAAAAGACAUCAAAAACAACAACAAUAACCAUCUUCAGUUACACAAAAAAUUUGGACAAUAUUUGAAAAUUUUGAAGGUUCCGGAUCAAACUUAUCUGAUUAUUAGUGUUGUUGUAAUAUUUAAAUUUGUGUAAUAGUUAUGUCUUCAUAUAAUUUUUAAAAAUCUUUUUGUUAAAUUUCUUUUGUAUAUUAUCGUUGUCUAAAUCUAGUUUAAAAUGUUUUAAAUCUUAUUUUAAAGUUUUAUUUAAUUUUAUGUGUAAAAUUUAAAAUCUGUAAACAAAAUUUAAAAAUAUUUAUGAGAUAUAAUUUUUUUUAAGGAUUAAAAUAAGAAACGAGAAAAUAUUUAUGAAUCAUAAAGGUGAUGUGUGAUUGUAAAGACCAAAACGCAAAUAAAAAUAUGAAACUUCAAAUUUAAAGUUUUGAGUAGUGAAACUUCAAAUAUAGAGUUUCACUCCUCAAAACUUCAAAUUUGAAAGUUUUGAAGUUUUUUUUUUUAGAGCAAAAAAUUUCAUAUUUGAAAUUAUAAAGUGUCUUUUGGAGAUGCUCUUAGUCGCGUGACUGACAGUGUUUAACUUUGUGAGAAUCGCUCACAGAAAAAAUAGUCAAACGAAAUUGUUUACAAACUAUUUAUAAUACAAUAAAUAGGAUAGUGAAAUGUGUGAAUGUUAAAGAAUAAUAUGUAAAUAUAUAAGCAUACUACAUACAAUGGCUUUUGAUAUAAUAAGACGAUUUCAAUAAGCUCCAGCCUCUAGUCCAAGCUGCAUGAGAGACACAUGUUCAUGUGCAUGCUUCUACAUUUAGUCAACUUUCAUGUUUCUUUCGAUACACAUGCAUUUGUAGUUGUUAAAUCAGUCCAACAAUUCCCAAAUGGAUAAUUGUGUUUUCUUUGUGUAUAUGUAUAUAUAUGUGGUUUAGUUUUCCCUGAAAAUCACAGCAAUGUACAAUGGGCAGAUACAUGCUUCGUAAAAUAUAAACUUGUUUUUAUAAUAAAUCAAAAAAGUUCUUUAAGUUGUGUUAAAAAGAGAGGACGUAAACACAUGGCUUCUUCGACAGUCACCACUUUAGCCCUAAUCCUAAUCAUGAUCUUCCACCUCACGCCAGAAACAACUGCAGCUCGCCAUCUCAACGAUCAGAUGAAGCCGAUCGAUGUAAUGAAAUACCUGUUUUCACAGGGCUUUCCCUUUGACCGUGUUCCUCCACCACCGUCACUUUUUUCCUCCGUUACCGUUUGUACCUUCUCCAAUCCCUGGAUACGCUCCAAGUUUACCGUCACCGUCACCUUCGUCACCUCCGGCGUCUCUUCCCGGUUUCCCUGGCUUUAGGUUUUCUCCCCCGCUGAUCCUCACGCCGCCACCGUCGUGAUUUUAUAGGUUAGCGCCGUUAUUAUAUAUGACAAUUAUCCGUUGGAAAAACGAUUGAUCAUGUGGACUCGAUGAUAUAAGACAUGCUUAUUUCACGAAAGUUUAAUAAAGAUAUAUAUAUGUCGUGUAAGUGUAACAAAUUGUCGAUCUAAUUAUUAAAUAAAGACUUCUGUUUAAGUUUUUUGCACCGGGA